rnacentral:rRNA from 1 species
UACGUAGGGCGCAAGCGUUGUCCGGAAUUAUUGGGCGUAAAGAGCUCGUAGGCGGUCUGUUACGUCCGCUGUGAAAACCCACGGCUUAACUGUGGGCUUGCGGUCGAUACGGGCAGGCUGGAGUUCGGUAGGGGAGACUGGAAUUCCUGGUGUAGCGGUGAAAUGCGCAGAUAUCAGGAGGAACACCGGUGGUGUAGACGGCUCACUGGACCAUAACUGACGCUGAGACACGAAAGCGUGGGUAGCAAACAGG